GCUGCCCAGAGGCUCGGGCAGGAACAUGCCGCUCAAAGCCCCUGCAGCCCGGGCUGCGUCUGCCCCCUGCCUGCGCGCUGGCCCCUGGCUCGCGUGGUGGGCUGGCCGCGGAGUCCAGCGGCGGUCGGCAGCGCGCUGGCACACCUCUAUAACAAAACCACAGUCAGCUGAAAACAAAUAUAAUGACUUGCGGGUGAAGAGGGCAAUGAGAAGCAAACCCUUCGCAAAAUACUGAUAUGUAAUAAGAAGACUUCCUCUACAUUGAGAAGAGAUGGAAAACCACAAAGACUCUACCAUGAUCCAAGACCUUUCCUGCAACUUGGCUUCUCUGUUGAAAUGGAAGGUGCUGACUCAAUUGAAUUUAUAACCCAGGAAUCAUACAUCUGAAUGAUAUGGGGGAAGCCAUAUCUGAAAGGUUCAUUCCCACAAAGUUAAGUCCCGAACCUGGGAAAAAUGUCUGUCCCUUCAUUGUAAUGUUAGCUGCUGCUGUUGAAGAUAGAUUAGUCUGGGGAGAAAAAGUUAUACAAGCAUUUUGAAAAGGAAGACAUAGAUGCAGCCAUCCUCUAUCGGGUACAAUCUAACAUUUGACCCUACAUUGUAUGUGCUGUUCAGGCUAUCAAUCCCCCGAAUCCCUUCAUUGGCUCCCCAUUGUUCACUUUUAAAAUUUAGGGCAUGGGGAGGGAAGGGGAACCUUGCACUAGGACUGGACAGCUCUGAAUCAGGGAGUUGCAUCUGGCUUCCUGUGGUCUUCCCCCUCUCUAAAUGCAGUUUGAAUGGAAUGCAGAAUCUGGGCCAAACGGUUUCACCAGUGGCUAAAACUCAGCUAUCUGCUAUGUGUGCUACAGUAGUAGAUUUAAAUUUUUUAAAUACAAAAUGACUGGCAUGGGAGAUGCACACAUACAUUCAAAGGCAGAAUUUUUAGCCUUUAGCACAAAAUUAUGUAUUUUAAACACCUGGAAUCUAUUAUGUUGCUGUUUAAUGAAUUUCACAGAACCAUCAUUACUUAUUGUUUAAAGGAAUAUGAUUGUCAGUACCAAAUCCAUUGCUGUACUGCAGAGUAAGUCACACAUAAAUACAUAAAUACAUGCAAAAAAAUUAGAUUCUUUAAAAAAAAAAAAAACCUUUUCUGGCAGAGGGAAAAUGCUUGUUCUGUUAUCGCUAAGGCUAUUUGAUAGGCAGAACUGUAGACUGCAUGAAAUCUGUGGAGAAGUCCAACAAGUCAAAUUCAUGAACUCCCAUGAAGUAGCACAUUUGCUUCAAAUAACUGUGAUCAGCAUAAAGACUAUAAAAUAUUAGAGAAACUACCGUGUAUGUUAAAAAUUAGACCUGUUAUUACAUGACAUGAUUGUGUUUCUAAAGUUACAUCUGAAGAAGUUUGGUUAAUUAUAAUGCCUUUAUACCCCAACAUAUUUACAGUUGGCAGUAACAAUCCUGUUGUACAAAUUGCAGAACUUUACUUUUGGAAAGAGUUGUAUCGGACCCGUUGUAUCCAAUAUCAAAUUAAAUUUGUCAUUGUAUGUGUA